rnacentral:rRNA from 1 species
GCCUCCCUCGCCGCCAUCAGACUCCUACGGGAGGCGAGCAGUGGGAAUCGUUAGCUACAAUGGGGGAAACCCUGGAUGCAGCGGCGCCGCGUGAGCGAUGGAAGCCCUUACGGGGUCGUUAAAGGCUCUUUACGUUCGGGGAACGAGUAAUGACGGUACCGGAGAACGGCAGCUGCCGGCUAACUACGUGCCAGCAGCCGCGGUAAUUC